GCGUACAGACGAGGAGCUUGCUCCUCUGACGUUAGCGGCGGACGGGUGAGUAACACGUGGAUAACCUACCUAUAAGACUGGGAUAACUUCGGGAAACCGGAGCUAAUACCGGAUAAUAUAUUGAACCGCAUGGUUCAAUAGUGAAAGACGGUUUUGCUGUCACUUAUAGAUGGAUCCGCGUCGCAUUAGCUAGUUGGUAAGGUAACGGCUUACCGAGGCAACGAUGCGUAGCCGACCUGAGAGGGUGAUCGGCCACACUGGAACUGAGACACGGUCCAGACUCCUACGGGAGGCAGCAGUAGGGAAUCUUCCGCAAUGGGCGAAAGCCUGACGGAGCAACGCCGCGUGAGUGAUGAAGGUCUUCGGAUCGUAAAACUCUGUUAUUAGGGAAGAACAAAUGUGUAAGUAACUAUGCACGUCUUGACGGUACCUAAUCAGAAAGCCACGGCUAACUACGUGCCAGCAGCCGCGGUAAUACGUAGGUGGCAAGCGUUAUCCGGAAUUAUUGGGCGUAAAGCGCGCGUAGGCGGUUUUUUAAGUCUGAUGUGAAAGCCCACGGCUCAACCGUGGAGGGUCAUUGGAAACUGAAAAACUUGAGUGCAGAAGAGGAAAGUGGAAUUCCAUGUGUAGUGGUGAAAUGCGCAGAGAUAUGGAGGAACACCAGUGGCGAAGGCGACUUUCUGGUCUGUAACUGACGCUGAUGUGCGAAAGCG
rnacentral:rRNA from 1 species